ACAUGCCUACAACAUAGUGUUAAUGCAUCAGAUCCCAUUAGAAAUUCAUAGUUAAGAACAUGCUGAGGAUAGAGUAGUAUUAGGAUGGGUGACCACUCGAGAAGUCCUACUAUUUUACAUGGC
rnacentral:rRNA from 1 species